AAAAUGUGUGUCUCAUGGCCGUCCAAAGAAGUAAAGGCAGCAACGCAGCUCUACAAGGAGAUGGAAUAUGAGACAAGCACCAACGGAGGAGAGAAGACCGUCAACGUCGAUAAACAUCAAUAUGCAACGUUUACUUGGGAGUUAUACAAACACUCAACUAGUUUGCCCCCUUUCAAGUUGGAGAUUUGGAUUAAAAUCUCCCGUCACAAAAUACACUAACUAAA
rnacentral:lncRNA from 1 species